AAAGAUCCAAUAGAGGGAGGAAGACUUCCAAAGAGAUUGUUGUGUCCGAGAUUAAGAACUUCUAGUUGAUUGAAAUGCCACAGACAGUCUGGGAGUUGUCCGGUUAAUGAGUUAUGAGAGAGGUCAAGAAAUGAUAAGAACCCAUCAACAGCUUGGCAUAUGAAGGAGAUUCCUCCAGAGAAUUUGUUUCUGGAAAGAUUUAAUAUUGACAAAGUGGAAGGAUUCAGUAUCGGACCAUGAAAGCUGUUGGAACUCAAAUCUAUCACUGAAUCAUAGGCAAAAUUUGAUAAUAAAUCUGGUACUUUCCCACUAAUGUUGUUGGAAGAGAGAUUCAAAUAUAUUAAUUGAGAAGGCCAGCUGUCCCAAAACUCUAGAGGAAUUGUGUCUGAAAUUCCAGUAUUGGAAAGAUCAAGAACAGUAAGAUCUUUGAGUGUUUGAAUCCAUUUGGGGAAGCGAGGCCCUAGCAGCUUGCAAGAGCUCAGAUAAAGAUACUCAACAUAAGAGAUGUUUGACAAGUGAUAUGUGGAAGGAUCUGUAAGAUUAUUAGAAGAAAGGUAAAGAGUUUGGAGCCUGGGUAGUUCCCACAGUUUCUCACUUAUACUUCCAUUUAAGUGAUUAUGAGACAGGUCCAAAAAAUAUAGGGAUGAAAACUUUUGGAUGUCAUCGGACAGUGACCCUGUAAAUUGGCUUUUUGGAGCAUACAAGUCUUGUAAUGAAAGGGAUGUGCAUCCGGACAAGUUGUUGAGAAAAUCAGGAAAUUUGACAACAGCAGAGUUGUAAGAGAAGUCCAAAUCUUCCAGACUACAGAGGUUACCAAGAUAUUUGGGUAUCCCAUCUAACAUGUUGCCAGAGAGAUCAAGACGGACAAGGCUAUUGCUGGUUAAUGUGAACAACCAACGAUACAUAGAUGAGGUGAGAUUGUUUUUUCCAAGAGAAAGGUAUGCAAUAGAUGAAGAAGAAGAGUUGAGAAAAGAAGAAUAUGGAUACAUGACCUGUGACAGCUCACAUCCCUCUAAACUUAAUUCAAAUAGUUUUGGGAGACUUGAAAUUACAUCUACCCAAUGAUUUGCUGUUGCUAGGGAAAUCCCAUCCAUCCAAAGUUCCUCCAAAUGAGAGAGGUGAGACAACCACUCUACCUUUUCAACUCUACAGCUUCCAACAUUUCCAAGUCGAAGAACUUGCAAGUUGGUGAGGUUUCCAAACUCUGGUGGAAUGGUUCCAUAAAGAGAGUUAAAAGAAAGGUCAAGAAAGAUUAAUUCUGUCAAGGAACCAAUUGACCUGGGAAUGGUCCCAUUAAAAUCAUUCCAGCCAAGGUUAAGGUACCUUAAUCGAGUCAAAGAACCAAUGAAAGUGGGAAUGAUUCCAUUGAAAGCAUUGAAGGAAAGAUCAAGAUGAGUCAAGUAGGUUAAGUUAAGCAAUGAAGGGCUUAUCUCACCUCCAAGACCAUAGAAAUGCAUAUCAAGCCCUGUGACAUGACCUGUUUGUUUGCUGCACGUGACUCCUUUCCGGUUACAGCAGUCAUCUCCUUCAGCUGUCCAUUUGGAGAGAUGUUCAUAAGGGUCUUGAAGGGGAGCUUUGAAAAGAAGGAGAGCAUCUCUCUCCAUAUCCAAACACUUGUUAAUAUCAUUUCCUCCUGCUGCUACCAAUUGGCUGGUAGUUGUAGUCACAAGGAGUAGCAAGAGAAGUGAGGAAAUUAUAAAAACACAAGAAUUCAUAAUGUAAAUCAAAAUCUUAAUUGCUGAUUUUUGGUUUGUAUUGACACAUAUAUCAACUGCCCCCAUGAGGGUUUAUAUAGUCUCCACUGUCAAGAUGAAUGAUUAUAAGUGGGUCGCCAUAAAUUGUGUGGAAUUAAUUGCCCCAAAUUAAACUUCAAAGACUUGCAAGUCUUGGCAAUUUGUCUUUAUUAUAGUAGAUAUCUUUCCCCAUCUUCUGAUAUGAUAUUGUUUGGUAUAUGAUAUAAAUCCCAAAAUGCAAAACUAAUGAAAUCUUUCAGUCAAAUACAAAUCUACCAAUCAAAACAGUAAUGAUAUUAUUUGGGCCUAACAAUCUGAUCAUGGCUAUGAAAUGAAGUUUUGUCACUUGCAUCAACUAAAUCGUGAACUUAUAUGAAUGAAACCAAGUUUAUACAUUACCGAUUAAUCAUGGUCUUUUCAAUUGUUAAAAUGAUAUUUAAGAUAACACUACAUUAGUAAUGACUCCACUAAAAACGCAUUAGAUUAUAAUUAAUACAAUUUUGCAACGUUUUUUUGUCCAUAUUCCAAAUAAAAUGACCAUAAUUAAUAUCAGCUAUACUCGAUCAGGGAUCAAAUAUAGUCAUUUUAACUGAAACAUGGACCAAAACGUUUCAAGAACCUCAUAUAAGGACCAAAACUGAAAUUUUCAGCUAUAUUCAGGGACCAAAAACGUUUUAUUUUAAUUGAAAAUAAACAUAAGAUGCACAUACAGAAGCAGUUUUAUUUUGCAGCAAUUCUUACCUUCUGUUUACCUAAAUUAAACUCCUAUCAAUCAAAAAUCACAUAUUAAAGACUCCAAUUCUACCACUGUGUUUUCUGAUCAACAAUUUGUAGCUUCUGAAGCUCCACUCCAUUCACCUUUAGCACUUUGCACUACUCAUUUAGAAAAUUUAAGAAAAUCAUGUUAUUAAUAUUAAUCAGAAAGACAAAAUAUUGAUGUAUUAAUUAUUAUAGUAUCCUACUUUCAUAGUUUGCUACCUCUUGAUGUAAUACAAGGGGUAUAUUGGUCAUUUAAAGACAUCCAGGAUAAUACUUUUUCCAAAAAAAAGAAGGCGUUAAACCGGAUACAAAUAAUUAUUAAUAAUAAUUUGCUUCGUAUGUAUAUUAAUUUUAAAAAUACAUGAAAGUAUACUCAAUAUAACUUUCAUUUUACUCUCUAUGAUACCUGUUAUUAUAACACAUUAAAUAAUUAGUAAUUAGCCUACCCAUCAACUAAACUACAUAGCUUCUCCAGUUUAUAAUUUCCUAACAAAGUUCCAAACUUGUUUGAAAAGCUAAAUCUGGUUGUUCUUUGUUGGUCUUAAGAAUGAUCUAUAGCGCCAUACUUUCAUUUUUUUGUUGAAAAAUAUGACACACCAAAAAACUAUCAGGAGAUGAGAAAAAGAUAUAGAUAAUAAAUACAAACUGAAAAAUAUGACAAGGUGGGAAAAGAUAUAUCUAUAAUAAAGACAAACUGCCAAGACUUGUAAGUUUUUGAACGUCUAACUUGGGGCAAUUAAUUCUAAUUCUUCAUCUUUGAUUUUUCUUAUAGUUUUGUUCAAAUUUCAUGGAAAUUAAGUAUUGAUGGAAAUACUAUAUGCCCCACACAAGUGGCCACUCAUUUGAGGCUACCUACUCAGGAGUUAGGAUCAUUUAUCUUGACAGUCAAGAUUAUAUAAACCCUCAUGGGCCCAAGAGCAAGUUUGGGCCUUCUAACAGAAACCAGGAAUUACCUUUUGUAGAGCCCAUUGUUAACAAUUCUGAUCACAUUACUUUUGAGUCUUUGAAAAUAUCACAAGUUUGGAAAUGAUUUUGAUGAUAAAUACAAAUUCCCAAGACUUGCAAGUCUUUGAACAUAUAAUUUGUGGCAAUUUAUUAUAAUUCUUCAUCUUUAAUUUGUCUUUUAGUUCAAAUGGUAUUUAUAAACUUUUAUUCUCAACCAUUUCUUUCUGAAAAACUUGUUCAUCAGUAGUCAUCCAGGGGCCAUGUGCUGCAAAUACAAGAAACAACUUGGUAAUAGAAACUAUAAACCCAGGAGUAAAUUACACUUUCAAUUUCCAUUUUUUUUGGAAAGGAGGGAGGGUUAAAUGGUAAUUUUCUUUGUGUUUUUAUAUGCUACGAAUAUAUGAAUUUUCCAGGAUAUCUUAUUUCAUGCAAAACAGGGAUAAGGGCCACCCAUGGUGUUGGUGGCAAAUAUAUAGAUAUGGGAGACUUAAAACCCCCAGCCAAAUUACAUAUUGCAAAAUGUAAAACUAAUGAAAUCAUUCAAUGAAAUAGUAAUUAUAUCAUUUGGGUCUAACAAUUAAUGACUGUGAAAUGAACUUUUCUCACUUAGAUUAACCAAACAGUGAACUUAUAAGAAUGAAAGCCGGUUUAUCCAUUCCAGAUUAAUCAUGGUCUUUUCGAUUGUUAAAAAUGAUAUUAGGAUAAUACUACAUUAGUAAUGACUCGAUUAAAAACAUAUUAGACUAUACUGAAUACAACUUUUUGCAACUUAUUUGUACCUGUUGCAAAUAAAUUGACUAUAAUUGAAAUCAGAUAUACUCGGGACCAAAAAUUUAGUUGAAACAUGUACAACAACAUUACAAGAACCUCAAAUAAGUUCGAAAACUGAAAUUUUCAGCUAUACUCAGGGACCAAAACUGUCUUAUUUUACUCAACACUUACCUUCUGUUUACCUAAAUCAAAAACCAUAUAUUAAAGUCAGGAUUCUUUUACUUCAUUUGCUUGAAAAUUUUUAAUACAACUAACCUCCAUUAUACAGCUACUUCGUAUCUUCUGAAAUCUGAAGCUUCACCUCUAUCACUCUAACACUAUCAUUUAUAAAAUUUAGAAAAACCAUGUUAAUAAAUAUAUUAAUCUGAAAGACAAGAUGUUCAAUAAUAAAAACAGGUGUAACUGACUUUAAACCAUCUUAUUUGAUAUUAGUAUUAUAAGUUGGAAUUUUUAUUAAAAUAAUCAACUUAGUAGUUUAUGUCUUAGUUGUAGAUAAAGAAUGCUACUUUAACAGCUAAAUCUGGUUGUUCUUUGCAGGUAAAAUCCUCAAAUUGUAUUUGAAUGACAUUGUUAUAAUUUAUAAAUAGGUAGAUUUUUCAAAAUACAUUGCUUUAAUAGAGUAUACAUGAAAUUAUGAAAAUACAUUGCUAUAAUAAACAUAUUAAUGAAAGUAUGUUGCUGUUUCUUACAGUGAACCCUUUUGCAUUUGACCAAAUUAAUUAUCAUUGAAUUCAAAAUAAAUUUGUUUUCAUCCGAAUCGGUCAAACAAGUUAAUCCCUGGCGAUUUUAGCAUCAACCAUUUCUAUUGAAACUAUCUUUGAAACAUAUCAUCAACAAGUCUAAUUCAACAAUAACCAAAUAAUAUUAUCACUACAAAUAAAAUGACAUAUAGUGGCACACAUUUUUAGUGGCAUAUGGUUAAUGUGCCACUAUAUCAUGGUUUUUAGUGGCACAUAUUAUAUGCCACUAAAAAAUCAACACAUUUAAUGGCACUUAAUCUUUUGUGUCACUAAAUUUCAUAGUUAUUAGUGGCAUAAUGACUUGAUAUGCCACUAAAACUUUUUUUUUGAAGGCUUUUUUUUUUAAUACGGUAUAAAUAAUUCUUAUAAUAACUAAAAAAUGUAAUUACAAUAUUAACAAUUUAUUUUAUAUUUCUCAUUUAAAUACGGUAUUACAUAUUUAUGAAAACUUAUUAUGUUAAUAAUUUUAAAUUUUGAUUUUCUUGGUUUAUUAUUUUGAAAACGAAAACUAAUUUUUAUUUGGGAUUAAUUUAUAAUAUUUCCAUUAAUUUAUCUAUUUUCUUGUUUAAAAAAAGUUUCUAACCUAACAAUUUGGGUUAGAUAACAUUAUCAUCACAUUACCUUAUUUGGAGAGGAGAUACGAAAGUCAAAAAAAUACAGGUACAACAACCAAAUCCCACUCUCCCACUCCUGACGAUGAUCUAAACGCAAUAUCACCGCCCUCUCUUCGUCGACGUCGUACCAUCACGGUGACGUUGGUCUGUGGGUCGCUGCUUCCACGAUCAUCGUUGUUUUCACGAUCGUCGCCGCUUCCUUGAUAGCCACCACUUCCUCGAUCGUCGCCGCCGCUUCCUCAAUCGCCGCCACUUCCUCGAUCGUUGUCGCUUCCUCGAUUGGCGCCACUUCCUCGAUCGUCGCCGCAGCAUCCUCAAACUCACUGUUAGGUAUUUUUGCUGCUCAAAUAAGCGUAUUUACAAUUUUCAUUUUUUGGUAAAUUUGUAGUUGUAUACUGCCCCGAUUUGUUGCAAAAUCAUUGCCCAAACUGCUAGGGUUUAUCAAUUUUAUGAGAGACUGCCAUUAGUACCUUUAAAAGUCCAAUAGUUUUCGAUUAUUAGAACUUGUGAUUGCAUUUUGACUUUCUCAGGUCAUAAAAUAUAUAAACUAUAAUCCAUGUACUCCAUAAAAGCAUAUCUCUUAACAUCUGCUAAUAUCCCAACGCCAAUUGACUUCUGUAGAGAUGGUUAUAGUUAAACUUCAACUAACUUCAAGAAUGAGUAAAGGUUGUGCUCAAAUAAUUCAAGUUUAUUGGUGUACUUGUCCAUCGACUGAGCAUAACAACAUCAAACCCUUUCUUCAGAUCAAUCUCCUCUUCCCAGUGACUACCCUUCAUUUCAAUCCUCUUCUCUUCAAGAGCUUUCAUCAGCCUCUCCCUCUCUUCCUCAAAUUCCUUCAUUGCCUCAAGCUUCUGAUCAUACCUAUGAGUUCAUGCAUAUUAUAACAUUACAUACUCUUUCUUUUUCUACUUUGAUAAAACAACCCAAGCAAAGAAACAAAAAUACAUAAGUAUGUUGAUACCUCUUAUGAGGAUCAACCACAAAAUAAGAUUGCUCAACUUUCAUGUGCUCUUCCUUUUAGAGUUUGUCAAACUUUCCUUCUUUUAAUGUUUAAGAAUGUCACCUUUAAGAAUGUCACCUAGAAAUAACUAGACAUGUAGGACACCUUUCUAACAUAUGUACAUCAAAAUCGUAUUCUUGUGGGUGGAGCCCAGUCAAAAACCGGUCAAUGAUAUAACCGCCUGCCCGAGUGGUGAAAUCCCAAGGUGAAAAGCUAAAGUGUUCCCGGAAACCAUUCGGGGCACCCAUUUCCCUUCCAACUCUUGUUGACCGAGUAAAAAUGAUAUUUGUUGGAAAUUUACCAGACGACCCUUGGCACCACUGAUGGUCAUUAGAGAAAUGCAGUUUUGUGGGAAGGGUUUCAUCACUCCUUUUGGUAACCAUUUUUUGCUGAUCAUUGAACCUUUAUCUCUUAGCUUUGUUUGUAUGAGGUUAUAUAAACUUGCAGAUGUUGUUGCUCCAUUGCUUCUUAUAAUUUUCUUAGUUUCCAAUUGCAACUCUCUUGUCCCUAUAAGUUCACAAAUUAACAAAUGCAAAGACCCUAAUGAUUUAUAAAAAUUUGUCCAAGUAUAUAUCUAUUUUUUGAUUUUCCAAGUUGACAAAUUUUAUGUGAACCUUUUCACCUACAUCUUCACCUUCAAGUUCCAUCUUCAUUUCUUUGUCACAAUCUGGUGACACCAUUAGAUCAUCUAAACCACAUGUAAAUCCAUGGAACUGUAGAAUGAUUAUUACUUGUUAUUUGAGACAUGGAUUGGGUAAAGAUUUGAAUGAGCCUCCGUCCAUUUGGCUAUGAAAUGAUUUGGAGCAUACAAUAGACAAUGUUUUUCUUGUGUUUCUUCUUGUUCAUUAAAUAAUCAUUCGUUUUAUGUUGAUGCUUAUACUUUUUGAAAGGUAUCAUCAAAUUUAGUAGAUACCAUUAUCAUGAUUCAUGCACAUAUACUCUUUUCAGAAGUUAGAAUUUUGUAUCAAGUAAAAUCACCAUCAUAGAAACCUGCCUGAUGAUCAUAAUAACAAAAAUAAUUUGUCAAAAUAGAAAUUAUGAUGUUGGUAGUGGUGAUUGGUGAGGAGCUAGAACUUUUAGAAAUUUAUUUUUGAAAGUAUUAUGGAUAAAAAAUAACAAUAUCUUUUUAUGAAAUUGCUAUUAUAAUAUUUUAUUUUAUUUCUAUUAUAAAACUUUAAAAAGUUCUAUCUAGUAUUGUCAUAAAAAAUGUAUUUGCCUAAAUAUAAUGCUAAUAAAAAUAUUGAAAUAAUAAUAAUAAUUAUAUAAUAUAACUACGAUGACUAACACUUUGAGUGGUAUAUAAAUUUAAAUCCAUGUUAAGUUACGUAGAUUUGACAAUAAUAAUAGUAUUAAAUAUGAAGAAAAUUAUGAAUAAUACUUUUAAGAAAUUGAAAACAUAAUUAAUUUGAUAUGUAAUCAUUUUUGACGGAUUAAAUUCAACGAAUAUUUAGAAUAGUAAAUCCAAUGACUAAUGACCUAUAUAAUGUAAAAAUGGAAAUUUUAAUUUAAAAAUGAUUAGAAAUGAAUGUUAUUUUAAAAAAAUGUUUACUAAAUAUUUUACAUAUAAUGGAGUGUUAUUUUAAAUAAAUCUUCAUCUACACUCAUAUAUGUGGGUCCAAACCGGUGUACUAUUAUUUGGGACCCAAAAAACUAUAACAAUAUAUAAUAAAUAAAAUAGUUAUAUAACAAUCCAUUAAAAAGUCUACUCAAUUUGUAAUACUUCUCCAUAAGGUUACCGGUUAACUUCAAGGCUUUAAAGAGUAGACUACCUGUUUUGUGUAUCUUUUUAAUAAAAAGGGUUUAUUUAGGGCAAUUAGGUCUUUUUCCCCAGUUAUGUCAGUGCAUAGCUGUAAUAACUUGCAGGUAGCAUGUCAUAGUUCACUUCAGUGAGUAAAUUCACUUUUGGGAUGUCAAGAUGACAUUUGUAUUGCUUUGAUUUUAGCACCAAUCAUUCAACCAUAGUUCUACAAUUCUACAAUUAAGUCCUACAGUAUACCAUAUAUGUUACAACUUAAAGAAAGAAACAUAAUUACUAUUCUCACUUUACAGGUGAAGAUGAUGAUGAGGAUCUAUCAGAAAAUUUUAUCGUGAAGACAUGCCAAAAGAUUAUUCCUGUAACAUGUAAAAUUUCUUUUCAAUUGUCAGAAAUUAUAAUUUUUUGAUUUGGAAAGAUGCUAACUUUCUGCAUUGUUCUUCAAGGGUAAAUCUGGUAUUGAUUUCAUUCAUUCUUUUUCUUGGUUUGGCAGCUCAAUAUGAUGGCAAUAGGUUUUUUACAGUUGUGAAUGGAGCUUGGAAAGUAAGUGAAAAGAUAUGGUUAUUUUUUUUGUUUGUUAAUAUGAUUAAAAACAUGUGCAAUUUUUUUAAAUGGGAAUCUUUUCUUGAUUCUUUUUUUUUACUCAAAAAGUGUCAUCUUGAAUUGUUGGUUUCUAAAAGGCAUCAAACAUUCUGGACAGGCUACACCUUUGCUUCUACCUGUACCAGUAAUUGAACUCAGUGACAUUGCAUUUGCUGUAAGUUUAUUCAUUUAACAUAUUUUUAUAAUAUUUUAAAACUUCUGUUCACGAAUUUUAUGUAAUUUUUUUUUCUAGGUUGACUUUAUACCUGCAGUUUUUGGUGUGACAAGAGAUCCCUUCAUUGUUUUUUUCAUCUAAUCUCUUUGCCAUUUUAGAUAAAGUAUGAUGCCACAGUUGACUUUUAUCUAAUUGGUCAAACACAAAAAAAAUUAGGCUGAAUUUUUGCUUCUGAUGUAGGUCUACGAUCUCUAUAUACACUGAUUUCAGAAGACAGAAAGCAUGGCAGAAUUGGAGUAUCUACAGGUUAGUUUUUUUUUUUUAAGUUUUCAUGUUAAAUGACCUAUUUGCCCAUAUCCAUUGUUAUGAAUGAAUUGAUAGUAUAUAUCUACUUGGGAAUCAUGCUUUGAAUUUUGAAAGGUUUAUCCAUGUUUGAGAUUACAAAUAGGUUGAUGUUAGGUCAACAUUUUCUUCUAUAUCUAUGUGUUUGAUUGGGUGCAAAAUGAUCCUAGAUUUCUUUGGUAAGUGUCUUAUUGAUUAGGUCACUCAUAACCAAAGAUAAUUCAUUAUGAUAAUAAGGAUGAGGGAAAAUACGUCUUUUGGUAACUACCUGAAAUGUUAAUCAUAUCCAAUAAAUCAUAUAAAUCAUAGCAUCAUACUUUCAUUUUAGUGCUCUAAUAUGAUGAAAUAUGAAAGUAGAGUGCUAUAAUAAACAAAUCAGUGAAAGUACGUUGCUAUACUCGCAUAGAUUUCUAAAACUAAAAUGUUAUAGUAUUAUGAAAUAUGAAAGAAAAUAUGAAUUGUUUUAAUUUUAAUUUUGAUUAAAAUAACUCCAACUGGGGUAAUUGUUAUAAAAAUGGUCCAUGUUGCAGGAAUAUAUUACAAAAAUGGUCUUUGUGGCAGGGAAUUGUUACAAAAAUAGUCCUUAUUACAGGAAAGCAUGACAAAAAUGGUCCUGUAAGAAGCUGUUAAAAUUGUCCUUGUAGCAGGGAUAUAUUACAAAAAUGGUCCUUUUGACACGUAACUGUUACAAUGGUAAGUACUUUCAACUAGGAUAACCAUUUGAUCUAUGGUUCUUUUUAUGUGUGGUGAUUAUUAGUGAUAUUAUUACAUAUUUUUAUGUGAUUAUUAGUGAUAUUCUUAUAUAAUUUUAUAUGAUUUAUUAUGAUUAUAUUACAGGCAAUUAUUCAAAAUGGAUAAACACAAGAUGGAUAAACAAGAGGAGCAACUAUGCAAAUUUCAUCUUCAUGUCAACUUUUGUGUUUCUUUCCAACAAGUAUUAAGUUUGAUAGUUUAAUAUUUUUAGUAAUUACUAGCACAAUGUUUAGACUUAUUAUAGGUUUUUGGAAUAUAUUUUUGUAUUAAAUAUUGAGAAUAUUACACUCAGACAAGUUAAGUAUUAAUUUGAGUAAUGCUUUUGUGUUUUGCAUUUAUUAUCUUAAUUGUUUUUUAUUAUUUUAUAUUCCAUUUAAAUUUAUAAAAAAUAAAUUGGAUCUAAUUUUGAAAUAUAAAUGUUUUGUUGUAAAAAAAAAGUGCCGCUAAAACAUACAAAUUGUUUUUAUUUUAGUGGCAUAAGAAUAGUGUCACAAAAACUAAAAGUGCUAUAGUGGCACAAAAAAAAAGUGUCACUAAAACCUAAAAGGGCUACAGCGACACAACAAAAAAGUGUCACUAAAAGCCUUUAGUGGGAGCGUUUGUAGUGACAUUUUUUUUUUGUGUCGCUGAUUGCCAAGGGGGUUUUUAGUGGCAUUUUUUUGGUUUUCAAUGGCACUUUUUUUGUGCCACUAAACAUCGUUUUAUUUGUAGUGUAUGUUGCCCCUACUUGUUUGCCAUGGUCAAUUUAACCAACUUGUGCAGUUAGAUCAGAUUGUUCAUUGGUGGUUUUGAUAUGGAGAGUGUUAUAAUAAUAUACACAAACACAAGCUUCACAUUUUGGGCACAAUCAACCAACAGACCAGAUAUUCAUAAGGAGACCGAGAUUAAGGUAGAGUGAUUAUAAGUAGCAGGAAAAAACGUGCAAAUAAAGAAUAAACUGAUCACCUCAGCACUUGUUCACUAAGACCAGUAAAUGCUCCAAUUUUACAUUAUACAUUUGUUUAUUCCUACUACAACAAUUUACUUUGAAAAGUCUAAACAAAAUGCAUAACAAUUUUUACUGUUAUAACUGGAUUUGGGUAGAUUUUUUUGUCAUUCUUCACUUGGUCCGAAUUUUGUUGAUUCAACAUCACAUGCCUCAAAGCCUCCAAUUGAGCAAGAAUUGUGAUUCCUGAAGUAGUUGAGGUGUUGUUUCUUUUUGACUUAAUAGAUUUAAGUUGACUUGGAGGGUACUACGCCAAAUUUCUUCUAAGGUUUUGAGAGAAUAUGAAAGCUAUAGGCAAAUGCAUUUUCAUAUAUGUUUGUUAGGAAGAAACUUGACAUAUAUCACACAUACAUAUUAGUAACAAUAGUAAGUAAUUCAUCAUUACUAUCAUGAAUGAUCAGGAUUUGAUAAUUAAAGCCAGUGAUAGGUAGGAAGCUUUAUUUUUAUCACAAUCAUCCAAAUCCAAAUCUGCCUAACUAUAUCCUAAAUAGCAAGAAAAUUACUAAACGCGUAGUAUCAAAUACUAUCAGCAAUCAAUAACAUUAAUCUGGUCAAAAGAAGCAACUUAUAGUAAAUGUGACAAUAGCUGAGGAAAGAGCAAAAAAAAAAAAAAAAUCAUAAUUUGCCAUAACCUCAGAUAACCCCAUAAACAUAUUUCUGAUUCCAAAUAUAAUCCUCCAAAGAAAAAUACACACGGAAACCCCACCAGCACCAUAGAUGACACGUUUUUUCUCCUCCAACAUGCCUCCAUUUACAAUCCAAUAAGUUGCUUAUCCUUUUUUUUUUUUUUUUUUUAGUUUUACUCUUCAACAAAUUUACAUCUGAUCUUUCCUUUUAAAAAUAUUACAUAUGGUCACUCGAAUCAUCUCUCUUAUAGAGCAGAAAGAUCACUGACUAUUAAAUCAGAAAAACGAAAUUCGGAAACGGUUUCACUAAGGCAUACCAUCAAACAGUUGGUGUGCAGUAGAGAUCAACACAAAAUGGAGGUCUAAAUUAGUAGAAAAAUCAUCAAACCUGUUGUCCUGUUCAGACUCAAAUAGAGAAAUUGAAAACACCAAAAAAAUAAUAAAAAUGAGAGAAAGAAACAUACCUAAUCAACGUUGGACUCUACAGACCUCACAGAAUGCACAGUGGUAUAAUUACUUGGCUUUGCAAACGCUUAGUUGAAGCUGACAAAAGAAAUUUGAGAUGGAGAUAACAACUCUGCUGUGUGACCUUAUCGAUUCAUGGAAACAAAAGAAAUCUGAUUAGGUGAUAACAAAUGCACAUAAAUUGUAGCGACACAAUGAGGACAGUAUCCCAACAAUAGUAAUAAACUUUUAGGGGAAAAGCAACGAGCUUCACCAGCUCCAAAACAGAGGACACUGAAAAAUAGUAUCAAAUCUUGUAUGGGAAGCAGAGUUCAUAAUAAAUAAAUUAAUGAUGUUAUAAGAACACAGAACAAUGUACAAUAACGCAUGCUUAAUCUACAACAUAAAUUAAAAUAUACCAAUUGCAAUUCUGGCUCUGCGAACAGUAUUUAUUAGAGUAUAAAUGGGUACUUAUAAUUUUCGUCUUCAUCUUCGUCCUUCUUAAUUCAAGCUAUCCUGGAGGUUUGGCAUCAUAUAUCAUGACAGCUAGAGAACUCUUAGCAGAUUCAAAGGCUGGAAACAAUCCAUUUCAUGGCUUCAGUACACCUUCUGUCUGUCACUAAACUAUCUUUUUAGGCCAAAAUUAAGUUUACCUUUUUUUUUUUUUUUUUUUUUUUUUUAAUGAUUUCAACCACAUUUCUGCUGGCCCCAUCAGGCGAAGUUCUAACAUUUGGCGAUGAUAAAUUUAUCAAAUAUGGCAGGUGUUAACCAAAUACAACAUGCUGCAUUUGUUCUUGUUGCAGGAGGGCUUGGGGAACGCCUUGGAUACAAUGGAAUCAAGGUUAGUUCUGUCUUUUAAUCCUGUGAAUUGUGAUAACUGUUCUGUUAGUUUAACACCACUCGAUAAAACUUCAUGUAUAUUGUAGGUAGCACUCACCAUGGAAACCACUACAGGAACUUGUUUCUUGCAACACUACAUAGACUCCAUCUUAUGCUUAUCUAAAGCUAGUUGUACACAAACUAAAGGUACUUUUUGUUUCCCCAUGAACAUGUUAUCUUUAUUCUUGUAGGCACAAUAUAAACUUAAAAUCAAUAUAUUAAAAAACUGGUAAAUUGUCCAAUUGUAGGUGAAUGUAGAAGAGAAGCACCUUUUGUGAUAAUGACUUGAGAUGACACAUAUACAAAAACAUUACAACUCCUAGAAUCAAAUUCUUAUUUUGGGAUGAAAUCUACGUACACAAGUAAAACUUUUAAAACAGGUAAUUGCAUCACAUUUGGGUAUUCUUUUUGCUACAGUAGAAGGGCAUAAAUGGCAUUGUAAAUUCAUGGUACCAUGUUUCAGGAAAAGGUAGAUUGCUUGGCUGAUAAUGAUGCUAGGCUUGCUGUUAAUCCACACAAUAAAUACAGAAUACAGGUGCAGUUUGUAAUGCAUAUAUAUGUAUUUGUAAUCUUCCAAAUUAUAAACCCUUUGUUUCUCUUAUCAGAAAAAACCUCAUGGUCAUGGUGAUGUUCAUUCAUUUCUUUAUUCAAGUGGUCUUCUUAAAGAAUGGUAUGUAUGCAUUUUUUUAUUUGAUUGGUUUUUGUUUUUAUUAAAAUAUCUAUCUCAUUAUACUUUAUGGAACCAUCUCUUUUAGGAAAGAUUCUGGUUUAAUUAAGAGGGGUUGUGUUUUUUCAAGACACGAAUGGACUCCUAUUUAAGGUUCAUUUCAAAGAUUGCCUUAAUAGUAUUAUCAUAUAGAGUUUGAUAUACAAAAUUAUUUUAUUUAUUUAUUUAUUCAGGCAAUUCCUGCAGCAUUGGGAGUAAGUGCAACUAAAGAGUAGCAUGUUAAUUCUCUUUCUGUUCCUCAAAAAACCAAAGAAGCAAUUUGAGGCAUUACAAGGCUUACUCAUUCAGAUGCUAAGUUUUGUUGAAUUAUCUUGUUACUGAGUCAUGGUUUUUAAAUUAUUUUUAUAUUGACAAAAAUACGCUCAGGAAUAGAAAUGGUGAUUAAUGUGGAAUACAAUGAAUUGGAUACUCUUCUUAGAGCAACAAGUCAUCCUGAUGGAGAUGUCAAUUGUGACACUGGCUUUUCUCCAUACCCAGGCAACAUAAACCGAGUAUAAUAUAUAUCACUUUAUAUUUUAUUAUUAGAGUGAUUUUCCUGAUGUUAAGUUUUGAUUUUUUAUAAUUACAUUUUAUUGUAGUUAAUUCUUGAGGUUGGGCCUUACAUGGAUGAACUCUCAAAAACUGGUGGUAGCAAUAAAGGAGUGUGUUAACCCCAAGUAACUUCUCUCAUACCUCAUGCAUUCUUUCUGUUUCCUAAAAGUGUAUUUAAAUGCUAACAACCUUAUAAAUCACUCUAUUUAAAAACCUAAGACUAUUAAGAGUUUCUAUUAAAGGAAACUGCCAAAAUGGUCCCUAGUGUUCGAAAAUUUUCUUUGGUUCAAGUCCAACAAAGAUUUUUUUGUUUAACUUUUGGUCCCUAUGUCAAGGUUUCAUUACUUGGUCCCUGUAUCAUUAAAUGUAACUAGACAGCUAUUUGGUUUUUCAAAAAGACCAUUUUACCCUUCGACCAAACUCAAAAAGGACUCUAUACCACAAGUAAAAUGAGUAUAUUUUUGGGACCAAAAUCGAAAAAAAAUCAGCUAUAGUUAGGGACCAAAAUGGUAUUUGGUAAAGAUAAUCCCGUUCCAGAAAGUGUUGAUGUUACCUUGACUGAUUCUGAUAAUGAAGAUGGAGUUCUAGGCGUUUCAGAAAGUGUUGAAGCUCCUCAAAAUGUUCAGGCUUCCAAGGUUGAUAAGCCCCUGUUGCAGGAAGUGGACAUAGUUGGUGUAUCAGGGAGUAAAAACGCAGGGGGUUCAAAGAAAUGGGUGUGUAAGCACUGCCAUCAAAUGUUUACCAACUCUUAUACUAGAAUUUAUGUACACUUUUUUGGUGCUGCAAUCGGGAAAGCACCAGAAAUCAAUAGGUGUCCUGCUAUACUCAAGGAUCGGGUUAAAUAUCAAAGCUUGUUAAACAGAGUAAAUGUUGCUGAAUCAAAAGGUAUUUCUAAGUCUUUGAAGAACUCUGUAAUUAAUAAUAAACAAAGUUCUACUUCUAAAUCUAGAAAACCGCUCGAAGAUUCUUUUGGUAUGAUGGAAAGAAACACAGUUGAUAUGAAGAUUAUGAGAGCAUUAUGUACUAAUGGCAUUUCUUUCAAUGUUCUACGUAAUCCUCAAUUUCAAGAGAUGAUAACAGUCAUAAACAGGGCAUCUGCUGGUUAUAAGGCUCCUUCAUACGAUAAAGCUCGAACCGUUUUGCUUGAUGAGUGUGUGAGAGAUGUGGAAAAGGGGAUGACUUCAGUGAAGGAUACAUGGUAUACACAGGGGGUUUCUAUUGUGUCGGAUGGCUGGUCCAAUGUUAAACAUCGUGUAACACCGUAAAAAUUAAGACAAUUUUUCACUUUUUAAAACCAAAGUCAUUCAUAAUCAUUUUCAAGAAAACAUUGUAGCAACAUUAUCUCAUUACAAAUCCCAAGAUCAAAUCAUAAUAAACUCCACGGGUAUGGGUGUGUGUACAGAUCAUGCCGGUGCUUUCCCGCGAUCAUCGUUGGUACCUGAGACACAUAACAAAAACACUGUAAGCAUAAAUGCUUAGUGAGUUCCCCAAAAUACCACAUAAACACAUAUCAGCCACUCAAGGCUGUAACUCUGUUGACCUUCUGGUCGAAUAUCUAUGUGGGACCCUCUUGGUCCCAUAACUCUGUGAACCCACUGGUCCUAACUCUGUAACUCUGGAUCAUGCAUAUCACAUAUCACAAUAAAUCACAACACAUAAUAACAUGCAAAUACACUGGCAUAUAACUCUAAAAUACUCUGUCACAUAACUCUGUUACCACACUAGGUAAAGUAUAGUGAGAAGACUCACCUCAGAUGUCUCGGUAAAUCUCUGACUCGGUAGAAAUAUGAUCUAGCCUCCGCUUAAUCACAUAAAGUAAAUACUCUCAUAAAUAUAACUAUACUCAACCCUCUCUUAGCACCCUCAGAAGGGUAAAAGACCAUUUUACCCCUCUUUUGGCUUAAAGGCCACAUUGUUGACCAAACCCUAAAAGUCAACAAAAGUCAACGGUCAAACUUUGACUCGACUCGUCGAGUGCACUUGGGCGACUCGGCGAGUCUACACGUGUCCACUAAUUCUUUAGUCUCGCUUGGCACGUUGAGUUCCUCCCCUUGCUCGACGAGUCACACCUGGCAUGAAUCGCGAGGCCACCCCGACUCAACUCGUUGAGUCUCAAGAACAACUCGGCGAGUUCCGCCUUGAACUCCAGUGCUCUAAUCCCCUCUGACUCACUAAGUUAUUUCCCCAACUCGGCAAGUCUACUCACUGAGUGAUUUACAGGAAACCCUAACCCUACUCGCCGAGUCUGAUCUUUGGACUCGACGAGUUCAUUCCAUGCACAAACUCCAUUGACCUCUUAAGGUCAGAUCUGUUCCUUAAAUCCAUAGAUAUGACCUUCCCAAGCAUGAUAAUCACGUAAAGUUCAGACCUUGACACUCAUAUAGCAUCUAGAUGGUCUCACUUGGUGAUUUAGCCCCAAAAAUAAACUCCUAAGUUCAUGGCUCCCAAAAUAACCCAUAAAGCUCCAAGGGUUAAGGACUCUGGACCUCUUUGACUCCAGAUCCAAAGCAUAAACUCGAGAAGGGACCAAUUGCUCCACAUAUCCAUUCUCUAAAGGGGUUAGAAAACCCUAACUCUAAGAAUCAACACCAAAUCUGAAGAAGGUCCGAAUAAAUACCUUAAGAUGAAGUCUCUGAACUCUGAAAUCACCAUAAUCUCUCCUCCUUUAGCCUCCUCUUGCCUUGGUCACCUCCUUCUUCCAAUCACACCAACAAAAUGAUCAAAAGUGGCCUCUCCUUCCUCACAAACGCUCUAGAUCUCUUAGGGUUUCUCUCUGGGGUUUGGUAGCCGCAAAUGACGACCCUAAGGGACUUUAAAUAGGUCCCAAACCCAGAAAAUUAGGGUUUCAUUAAACAGCGUGGACUCGCCGAGUCCACUUAUGAACUCGCCGAGUCCAGCUGUGAACCCGGAUAAGAAUCCGCGACCAUACUCGGCGAGUCUAAGCACCAACUCGCCAAGUCCCCUCCCAACCUUCAAAAAUAAAGGGAUAAAAUAAUAUGUCUGGGAAUUCGGAUGUUACACAUCGACCAUUAAUCAAUGUUAUUGCUACCAAUAGCCGUGGAGCCAUGUUUAUGUAUGCAGAGGACUUUUCUGGUGUAGAGAAAACAGGGGCAACAAUUGCAAACUUCUUGCUUGAAGCCAUAUAAACCGUAGGACCAAGGAAUGUUCUACAAGUUGUUACCGACAAUGCAACAAACUGUAAGGCUGCUGGAAAGGAGGUGGAGAAGGUACAUAAACAAAUUUUCUGGUCUCCUUGUUGUGUCCAUACUUUGAAUUUAAUUUUUAAAGAUCUUGCAGUCGAUUGUUUUUGGCUAAUGGACACAUAUAGGAAAGGGAAAAUAGUUGUUAACUAUUUUCUUAAUCACACCCAUGCAUUGGCUAUUUUUAGAGAUAAUUUACAAUUGGAAUUAUUAAAAGUAGCCAAAACAAGAUUUGCAUCUCAUUAUAUUUUGCUGAAAAGGUUAUGGGAUUGUAGAGAGUCUCUUGCUACUACAAUUGUCCUUAAUUCAUGGAGAGAAUGGCAAAAAAUAUUGAUGAAAACACUAGGCAAAGUGGAUUAUUAGUUGCUGAUACAAUUAAAAAUGAAGACUUUUGGGAUGAUGUGGAAAGUGUCCUUGCUGUUACAAAACCAAUAUACUUGAUGGUUAAAUUUUGUGAUGGUAAGGGAUCAAUGAUGGGAGAAAUUUACGAGAAAAUGGAUAACAUGCUAGGAGAGAUUAAGGAUGUCAUGAUGAAUCAUUGUUAUGCUGAGUAUUACCCCCGAGUGGAGAAGAUUAUACUAGCAAGGUGGGAGAAGAUGACAAUCCCUUUGCAUUGUUUAGGAUUUGCAUUAUCUCCAAGAUUUUAUGAUAAAAAUUAUCUUGAGGAGAUGGCGGCACCAGGUGGAGUUCAUAGGAAAGCUCCAAAUCUUGAUAAGGAGGUUAUGGUUGGUGUAAUGGAAUCUUUUAAGAGGAUCGCGGAAAGUGGAGAAGAGGAGCAUCUUCUACGUGAGCAAUUCCCUACUUUUCACAUGAAAAAAGGCCUUUAUGCAUUGGUGGCAGCUUACAUGGAUGCGGUGACCAUGGAUGCUAUUGAUUGGUGGUCAAGUUACGGGUCAGAAACGCCCAAACUUGCUGUUAUAGCAAAGAAAGUUUUAUCACAGCCUAUUAGUAGUUCAUCAGCCGAGAGAAACUGGAGUACGUACUCUUACAUACAUAAUGUCAAGAGAAACCGAUUGAACUCCAAAAGGGCUGAUAAAUUGGUGUUUAUACAUUCAAAUAUUCGUCUCCAAUCAAGAUUCUCCGAAAGUUACGCAUCUGGGGCACACAAGAAGUGGGAUGUAAAUCCCGAAAGCACUAACUUGGAACAGUCAAGUACACGACUUUGAAGAAAUGAAGUGGGAAAAUCUAGAAGAUGUUGAGAGAGUAGCUGAUGAUGGGAAUGAAAAAAGGCAAAGGAAAGAGUAAACUUAGGGAUCUUUUGGUAUUGAAGUUACUUUGUUUUGAAUGUUGAAGUUAUUUUAGCUUUAUUUGGUAUUGAUCUUUUGGUAUUGAAGUUAUUUUGUUACUUUUGUAUUAAACUUUUGAAGUAUGAAUUGAAGUAUUGAUCUUUUGGUAUUUAGUAUACUUUUUAUAUUUAUAGUAUUAUAUAUUUUAGCAAUAUAUGUACAUCGUACUAUAUUAUGUGGUACACCGUUCCACGUACCAAAAUAGCGUUCCGGAGAAGACUACCCCCCCUCGUACCGAAUUUUAUAGAUUACCGAUCCUCGGUCCCGUUUUCGUUCCACGUACCGGAACGAUCCCGUUUCCGUGUAAUUAUGGGUCAGACAAACUAAUUUGAUAAUUAUCUAGAUAUAUAAGAGUUAUUUACAGUUUUGGUCCCUGGGUAUAGCUGGUUUUUUUCAAAUUUGGUCCCAAAAGUUCUCUUGUAAUUUUUGUCCCUAUUUGACGUUUUUGGUAAUUUACCAAGUAAAAUUAUCAUAUUUUAUAUGACCAAAAUUGCAAAAAUCAGCUAUACCCAGAGGACAAAAAUGUUGCAAGAACCUCAAAUAAGGACUAAAUUACUAAUAGAACUUUUUGGGACCAAAAAUUUAAUUUACUAUAAAAUUAAUAAUCAUAGAGUAGAUUAUAUUUUUGGUCCUUUAGUAUAGCUUAUUUUCUGCAAUUUUGGUCCUUAGUUUAUGUUUUUGUAAUGUUUUUGGUCUGUGUCAUAAUUAAAAUGAAUCUUUUGGUCCCUAACUAUAGCUGAUUUUUUUUCGAUUUUGGUCCCAAAAAUAUACUCAUUUUACUUGGAAUAGGGACCAACAACAUUACAAAAACCUCCAAUAAGCACCAAACGACAAAAGAGAAAACCUUUUGGGACAAACAUUGCCAAAACUAGUUAUGUUCAUGGGCCAAAAUGUAAUUUACUCUAAUAGAAUAAUGUAAUUUUUUUUCUUCAGGCUGGUGUUAAGAUAGAUGAUCCAGUUUUAAAGGUGUUUAAUGGCCAAGAGGUGGAGGUUUGGUCACGUGUUGUGUGGAAGCCAAAAUGGGCUGUUACAUUUUCUGAUGUUAAAAGGAAAGUCAAAGGAAACAACAACUCUGUUUCAUAAUGCUCUUAUUGAAAAUUUGUCACUGGACGGAACCCUAGUUAUCGAUUCAGUUAAUGACGCCUGAUGUAUGUUAGAAAUAGAAACAUGCUUUCAUUUCUUCCUAUUACAUCAUUGUAGUUUAAAGUACAUUGCUACUACUAGAAAACAUGGGGUUUUCCUACGGAAAAUAGCUACGGAAAAUUUCCGUAGCUAAUUAGUUACAGAAUUGCUACGGAUUAGCUACAGAAUGGGAUGCCCUAAUUUAGUAACGGAAUAGCUACGGAAUAACUACGGAUGCUAUUCCGUAGCUAAUUAGCUACAGAAUAGCUAGAGAUGCUAAUCCGUAGCUAUUCCGUAGCUAAUUAGCUACGGAAUGGCUACGGGAUACCUACAGAUACUAUUUACCUACGGAUUAGCUACGGAGUAUGCUUUCCGUUAGAAUUCCGUAGCUAAUCCGUAGCUAAGUAGCUACGGAUUAGCUACGGAUUUUUCUUAUUUUUUGAUUUUUCGGGCACCAAACGUCGUUUUUUCGCUUCGUUUUUUUCACACCUCUACUAUAGAUGAUUAUCNNNNNNNNNNNNNNNNNNNNNNNNNNNNNNNNNNNNNNNNNNNNNNNNNNNNNNNNNNNNNNNNNNNNNNNNNNNNNNNNNNNNNNNNNNNNNNNNNNNNACUACCAUUAUCAUCACCACCAUCACCAUCACCACCACCGCCAUCAUCACACAACCAUCAUCAUUAUUAUCACCAUCAUCACCAUCACCAUCACCAUCACCAUUACCACNAUCAUCAUCAUCAUCAUCACCAUCACCACCACAACCACCACCACCAUUAUCACCGUCAUCACCAUCACUAUCACCAUUAUCACCAUCACCAUCACUAUCACCAUCACCAUCACCAUCACCAUCACCAUCACCCUCACCAUCACCAUCACCAUCACCACCAUCACCAUCACCAUCACCACCACUACCACCACCAUCACCAUCACCAUCAUACUAUCAAUACUGAUCGUCAUCAUCAUCAUCAUCAUCCUCAUCGUCAUCAUUUAUGCAUCAAUUUGUUGUUGCUUAUGUUUUGUUUUAAGUUUAAUCAGGAUUACACUUAAAUUGAGGAGGUUUGUUGGUGAUUUUAUAUCAUCAAUAUUAUUUAAGUGUAAUAUGAUUAAAAUUGUUGACCAAAAAUGAUCUUGUUUAAUAUUAAACAAGUUAGGAUGGUGUAGGAAUGCACAUAUGUUCAUGUUUUUCAAUAUUCAAAGUACAUUGUUAUUCAGGGGAGAAGCCCCUAAAUGAAUGGGGGUCCGCAGGCAGCGCCCCUGGGAGCGGGGUCCCAGGGGCUGUAGCCCCUGGCUGGGAUUGAAAUCGCUCAGCGCGAAAUUUUUUUUAUUUGGACUAUGUUGCUAUAUUAAAAAAUGCAUCAAAAAUCCAAUUUUAGAAAGUUGACACUUUUUAGAAAGUUAACUGUUCGGGUCCACCUCCAUGUAUCGACUCCUACACUUUCCUUCAUAUCGACUCCUCGCUUAUGUCUUCCCACCUUUUGUCUUCUGUGAACGCCAACCCCCUCGUUGCUCGUCCCUUCUCCGGCGCAUUCACCCAUUUUCCGACGUUCCUUCCCUCUCCGGCAGCAUAGCUCAUCCGUCAUUACCCCUCUUUGCUCGAUUUCUUCUCCCACAAAGGUAAAACCUAGUUUUUUUUUAAUUUGAAGAAUGUAAUGGCACAUUCACCCCACAUCGCAGCACACCCUCUGACCUCCCAUCUUCGGCGUGCCCGUUCGUCAUCAUCUCCGGCUGUCGUUGGUGAUGGCUAAUAGCGAUUUCGGUGUUGUGGAGGCUGGAAAAACACGAAGAAACAGCCCAAUCGUUAUGAUUUUCAGCUUGUGAACACAAGAUGUGAAGGUAAUUUCUAUAAACCUAAGUUAACGUCGGUUUCGUUUGGAAUUGUUGAUUUCAUGUUGAAAUUGGUUGAUAAAUCCUAAAAUUGCUUAUGGAUGGAAGCUUUUGAGGACAUUAGAAACCUCAAUGCAUGAAUCGAUUCUAGUUUGUAUAAAGUAGAUUGUCAAAAUUUGUAUAAGAUGACUAAUUUCAAAGGUGUUUGACAACCUAAGCAUUGGUUCUUCUUAAAAACAGGUUGGCAUGAAAGAUUCAUGAAAUUUCACUCUAAAAGAAAACACAUUCAGGCAAGUAGGAUGCCUGAACGAGAAAAUUGUCAAAAGGGAUCACAUGUAUUGCUUUUGGGGGAACCUUAAUUUUGACAGAAGAGGAGCUACAAUGGCUCUUGGUUUAGAUAAUAGCACAUUACCAGGUCCAUUAAUUUCUUUAUGUGUAUUCAAGUCUUUAUUAAUUCUAGUUUUUGUAAAGUAAAUAUUUAUAAAUCUGAAUGUUUCUUUAUUAGGCAUAGAUGAUUAGAUGGAUUGAAAUGGUGUUUUUUUUAUCAUUUAACAUUAGUAAAAAUGGUUUGUUAAUAAGAUGCAAUUUUUCACUAUUAUAACACUAGGAAAAAUGGUUUGUUUGUUAGAUGAUAUUUUGUAUCUGUUAGCAUUCAUGUGUUAAAAUUAGUUUGAAUGGAAUGAAUAUUAGUUACCAUGAUAAAUAAUUCCCACAGUAUUAUUAACAUCGCUUGCAUAAUAUGAUUUCUUUUAUAUGCUAAAAGAAAGUUAUAACUAACUUAUUGUAACUAAAUAACAGUUGCACAUUCUUUCAAUUAGUAAUUGAUACUUGUUUUUACAUUUUUCAGGCAAGCUUGCAUGUUGUUAGUUUGAUACUUCCUUUGCCAAGUAAUCGAUCAAAAAAAUUUCAAUUUUAUUUUGUAAGCACUUAUUUAAACAUUUGUAGUUGACACUUAUUAUGUGUAUCAUUAGACAAUGUUAAUUAGUAAUAUGUAUUUGUAUUUGAUACUUUUUUAGGUUUAUUAGUUUUAUUAUAAUGAUAUUUGUUUUGUAGUUGAAUUUCAAUAUUAUUUUAAGUUUAAUGUAAUGGGUUUUUUCAAUAUUUUGGAGAGAAAAAAACUGGAUUUUUUUAUAAUUUUUUAUUGUUUUUUUUUUAAAAUAAAAAGUAAUUAGCUACGGAUUACCUACAAAAAAUCCGUAGCUAUUUACUUCCGUAGCUAUCCACUUCCGUAGUUAUUCCGUAGCUACUAACUUUCGUAGCUAUUCAAUUCCGUAGCUAUUGAGUAGGAAAUCCGUAGCUAUUUAUUUCCGUAGCUAUUCUGUAGCUAUGGUAGCUACGGCAAAUUCCGUAGCUACUCCGUAGCUAUUUCGUAGCUAAUCCGUAGCUAUAAUUUUCCCACAGGCCAUUAUGCUACAGGCAUUUUUCCGUAGCAAUUCCGUAGCUAUCCGCUUAUAGCUACAGAAUAGCUACGGAUUGUGCUGUAGCUAUUGCAUCAGUUUUCUAGUAGUGUGCCUGAAUAAGAAACAUUGAAACUAUGAUGUUAUAAUUGUAGUUUAGCCUAACACCAUAUUUUUGUUUUUUGUCAGGUGAAAGUGGGAUGAGCAGUGCAAAAUAAAGGUUGGGGAAUUGAAAGUGUUGAUAAAGAGAAUAGUGGAUUGCCAGAGGAAGUGAGGAUUAGGAGUUUUAAAAUAAACAAAAUGGAGCACUUGGAAAAAUGCUACAGUGAAUCAGGGAAGCACUGAUUGAAGCCUUGAGGCAAAAAUCUUUGCACAUUUUAUAUCCAUAUCAACUUAGGUUAUGUUUGGCACACCACAACUAGCUUAUUUUUUUAUUUAAUGUAUGUGGGGCAUCCCUGUGGCAUUGAUAUGGUGUCGAUGUUGACCUUUUUUUUAUUUAAUCCUAGUUUUAUUUGAUUUUAAAUUAAUAUAAAAUAAUUAACAUUUAUAUUAUAUUUUAAUAAAACACUUAAAAUUGAAAUUACUCUUGAAAAAGAAUAGAGAACCAUUGCCUUCACCAACUUCAUAUUCAUGAUUUCAUCACCCCAAAGUACUUCGUCUUCUUCACAAAACAUUCGUUUCAGAUUUGAUUUUUGUUCUUUUUUAUUUAUUUAUUUAGGGAUGAAGAUGAAGGUAACCGCAGGUGGUGGGAUAGAUAUGAAGACCACAAUGAUGACAAGUUAAUGAAGAUGGUAUGAUGGUAUUAUGGUUGCUGUUGUUUGUUCGAUUUUAAUUUCCCUCCCAUCAACUCUAAAAUUGCAAAAUAAUAAUAAUAAUAAUAAUAAUAAUAAUAAUAAUAAACAAACAAACAAAGAAAGAAAAAACGAAAAAAAAAAAAAAACAAACAAACUAACUAACUAACUAAACCCUAAUACAGGUUUCUUGCAUUUGAUGAGGGAAGGUUUCAUAUCCAAAAUUUUGUAUAUGCAUUCAAACAUUGAGUUUUCAAUGUUUCAUAUAUUUGGAUUAUCCUUUUUUAUUUUUGGUUUUUGAAAAGUUUUCUUCAUGAUUUUGUAAUCGUUCGGAUAUUUGGAUUAAACAAUUGGACAGACUUUAUAGAUGUAUAUUUCUAGCAGUUUUAUAUAUAUGUUUUGAGUAUAAAAUGGAUAUUUCAAAUCCGAUGGCUUCUAAUCCCAUAUAUGAAGUGAGAUCUCAAGCAAAUAAAUCUAUACACGGUUGAUUUAUAUUAAAAAGAGUCAUCUAUGUUUUUUUUUUCUUCAAGUUACAUUAUUCUGUAUUAUGUCCAAAUUUUCGGAAAAGUUUGAAAAUUUCAUAUACAAAUUUGGAUAUCAAAAUCUGUUAUCCUAAUUAUCCUAAAUUUUCAGAUAUGUAGCUUUAAACCCCCAUAGAAACAACAACAUAAGGGUUUUAGUGGGGAAGUGUUGAGGUAGACUGAUUAUUUUGAGCCGAUGUCAAACUUCAAAGAGUCAUGGAUAUUUUAUGACAUGUGCAAUUUCAAACGGUAUCUAUUAUUACCUUUUAAUCUCAAACUUUACUUUCUGAAAAACUUGUUCAUCUAUAGUCAUCCAGGGGCCAUGUGCUGUAGAUACAAUAGAGAACUCAAUAAUAGAAAUGAUAAUNNNNNNNNNNNNNNGGUUAAUUUUUGGUUGCUCGUUUAUUUUGGAAUAGUGAUGCAAAAAACUGAUGCUAAUCGUGUUUUCCACUGCAAAAUGUAAUGGAAGUGCAAUUACUACCAAAGUAAGAUAUCUAAUGGAUUUACUGGUACACCAUUACUAAACAGGUUCAAACAAAAUUGAUUUGUAUCAAACUAUUUUUUUCCACAAUGGUCCGGUUUGGUUUCCAAUUUUUUUAGUGUACCUCUAAUUUUCAUUGUGUUUUUUUAUGCUACGAAUGUAUGAUUUUUUUAGGAUAACUUAUUUCAUACAAAACAGGGAAAAUGGCCACCCAUGGUGUUGGUGGCAAAUAUAUUGAUAUGGGGGAUUUAAAAACCACAACCAAAUUACAUUACAUUACAUAUUAGAAAAUAAGAAAUCAAAAAUAAAAAAUUAAACGACAAACUACUCCUAUCUACUCUUUUGGAAACUUGAAACGAACACAACCACCUUGACAUAAACCCAAUCUUUGAAGCUGUCAUAAAAUUGAAAAAAUGCACGUCUCCCUUGGCGGUUGAGAAGUAAAGCCCCACAUGCUAUCCAAAAUCCAGUAGCAAAACCCAUUCCCACACCAAUACAAAACCAUCCCCAGAGUUCAUCAUCAUCUGUGUCUUCCCCAUCACCCUCACCUUUACCAAUCAGAGGUGGUACUUCUGGUUCUUCAUCUCCAGGACAUUUUUUGGUAAGGGGAAGUCCGCAUAGUCUUUUGUUUCCAUUGUAUCUUGAAGGUUCAAAGGAUUGGAGCUGAGUGCUCGUUGGGAUUCUCCCUGACAAGUUAUUAAAUGACAAGUCUAGGUAAUUCAGUAAGCUCAUCUGAGACAUGCUUGAUGGCAUCCUCCCUGAUAAAUUGUUUCUGGAUAAAUCCAAAGUUAGAAGCUUUUUCAUCUCACCAAUAUGCUGUGGAAUCUCUCCAGAUAGAGCAUUCUUUGAAAAAUUCAGGGCAAUCAAGUCUGAAAGAUUGGUAAUUUCAUUUGGGAUUUGUCCUGUUAGAUUGUUGCUGGACAGGUCAAUGCUCUUCACCAAUUUCAGAGUUCUACUAAAUUCACGUUCAUCUCCUUGCCACUCAAUCAUUGCAUGGUCAACAUAUGUACCACGUUUAUAUAUAAUAUUAAGACCUCCUAAAGUUAUAAAAUACUGUGUAUCUUGUGGGAAUCCUCCUUGGUGAAGCAUGCUCGUAAGAUUACUCAAACAUGAGGGGAUGCUUCCAUGGAGAUUGUUCAUUGACAAGUCCAAAACUUGAAGAUUAGGUAACUGACAUAACUGUAAAGGGAUGGUUCCAAAGAAGUUGUUUGAUCUUAGGAUAAGAACAUACAGCCCUGAUAGGUUUUCUCCUAUCCAAACAGGCACAUCACCAGAAAACUUGUUGGCCCCCAAAUUCAAUGAGAUUAAACCCGUGCAAUUUUUUAAGGACAAAGGCAAUUCUCCGGAGAAGUUGUUAUCGUAUACAUACAACACCUGGAGUUGUAUCAAAGAUCCAAUAGAGGGAGGAAGCCUUCCAAAGAGAUUGUUGUGUCCGAGAUUAAGAACUCUUAGGUAUUUAAAAUGCCACAAACAGUCCGGGAGUUGUCCGGUUAAUGAGUUAUGAGAGAGGUCAAGAAAUUCUAAGAACCCAUCAACAAUUUGGCAUAUAAAGGCGAUCCCUCCAGAGAAUUUGUUUCUGGAAAGAUUUAAU
rnacentral:lncRNA from 1 species